ACACAAGUGUAAUAAGAACUGGUGGCUACAGUGUGAAAUUGUAUGUCAGAAGGAUAACAUGUCUGUCGAUGAUACUAAAUUACUGUUUGAAGGGUUUCUGCAGAAAAGAAAGGACACUUUGAAAAUAAGAUGGGUGACCUACUGGUUCAGGCUUCAAAACACUACUUUGUUCUUUUAUACUAAGAAAAAUGGCAGCGCUUCACAUCUAAGAGGCUAUUACUACAUUUACACAGUAAGGCAUUAAUUUUCUUUCAGCUUUAACUCAUGUUGAUUUGCAGUUGUGAAAUAUAAAAGCAUAUUUAUGGUCCAGCUUCUUUUUCUGAAACAGAAUCCAAAAAUAUUCAAAAAUGUUGCUCUGUAUCUAAAUGAAAUAAUUUAAUAAUUGUGAUGGGGAACACAUAGUUUUCAAAAAACAUGUGGGAGAAAACUAACACUGCAUAUUUCCACCCCCGCACCAGUUGCAUUUUAAGAAAUAUCCAUCGUUUUAAUAAUAAAUCAAUUGCAUUAAAUUACCAAACAUUAACGUUCAAUACUAGGGUGAUAUUAUCAUUAUUAUUAUUCAAAUUGGAUGUGAUAUUUUGUAGAUAGAUAGCUACAAUCCAAAGCAGUCACUUUUUACUGUAAUUUGGGAUUUGAUUAAAAAAAAAUGGUUGGCAUUAGCUCAUGGUUUCUGUGAAAAUGCAAUGCAUUAUUUUGGCUUAUUUUGGUAAAUGGCUUACCGUGUGGUGGGGUGGAUUUGA